rnacentral:rRNA from 1 species
GGCGAACGGGUGAGUACACGUGGGUGAUCUGCCCUGCACUUUGGGAUAAGCCUGGGAAACUGGGUCUAAUACCGAAUAUGACCACGCGCUUCAUGGUGUGUGGUGGAAAGCUUUUGCGGUGUGGGAUGGGCCCGCGGCCUAUCAGCUUGUUGGUGGGGUAAUGGCCUACCAAGGCGACGACGGGUAGCCGGCCUGAGAGGGUGACCGGCCACACUGGGACUGAGAUACGGCCAGACUCCUACGGGAGGCAGCAGUGGGGAAUAUUGCACAAUGGGCGCAAGCCUGAUGCAGCGACGCCGCGUGAGGGAUGACGGCCUUCGGGUUGUAAACCUCUUUCAAUAGGGACGAAGCGCAAGUGACGGUACCUAUAGAAGAAGGACCGGCCAACUACGUGCCAGCAGCCGCGGUAAUACGUAGGGUCCGAGCGUUGUCCGGAAUUACUGGGCGUAAAGAGCUCGUAGGUGGUUUGUCACGUUGUUCGUGUAAACUCACAGCUUAACUGUGGGCGUGCGGGCGAUACAGGCACACUAGAGUACUGCAGGGGAGACUGGAAUUCCUGGUGUAUCGGUGGAAUGCGCAGAUAUCGGGAUGAACACCGGUGGCGAAAGCGGUCUCUGGGCAGAACUGACCUGAGGAGCGAAGCGUGGGGAGCGACAGGAUAGAUACCUGGUAUCCACGCCGUAACGGUGGUACUAAGUGUGG